ACGAGCAUUGUGUACUUGGGAUCCCCACAGGUAACUCCAGGUGGAUUUCCAUCGGCACCCUGGACAUCACGUUGCCGGCAACGUGGUUGACGUUCCAGGGGCAAUGAAGCCUUUGUCAUAGUCUUAUAAACGUAAGGGCUGUUCACAGUUAAGGGCUGAGUCUGAAUCCAGACGAACAGAAAGAGCGGAAGGAGCGUGAUGUCACUGUAAAAAUUUAUUGUUUCUUGCCUUACAUUGAACGUCCUGCCCGAGUUCGCACAUCAACCAGUCGCAAAGUGAAAUUGCAAGGUAGAAAUAUAUUUGAAUUUGGGCAGACUAACUCCGCAGGUUACUCCGCACGGCGCCAAACAUGGGAAGCAAUUUUUCAAAGGAGGACUGCUUUCACUUCCCAACCAUGGACAAACGGAAUCUGGACACUCUGAGGGACUAUGUGCGUAACUACAACCCUCCUGAGGGCUGUGGAGGCUGUAUAAACAUCCUACUCUUCGGCAUGG